GAGUGGAAUAAAGUAGCGCCCCUUCUUUCUUUGGUUGGCCAAUCUGAGAGAGAGUCUCAGGUGAGUGGGACUCUUUGGUUAUAAACUAAAUUACAUCAGAUUUGACUCAAUUUGGAUCUGAUUGGAAUCAGAUUCGAAGAGCCUGUCAAUCCCAAUCUAAUUAAAAUUUUGAUCCAAGUUUAACUUGAAUUUUUAAACAAAUUCAAGCCUAAUUAAAUUAGAUCUAAUCUAAAAUUAAUUAGCCAUUAAAUUUAAUAUCUCAUAAAUCCCUUGGAUCAUCGAUCAGAUCAUUAUCAUCCCCAAAAUUAAACUCAAACCUCAUGUCUAGUGCUAGCUAGACAUAGUCAACUUGUUUAAUCCCAUAUGAUCUCUAAUUUAAUUCUUAAUUAAAUUAAUCUAUUCAUUCAAUCAAGUCACGUACUUUUAAAUUGAACUCACAAACUUAGGUUAAUUCUUUUCUAUAUUGCUUGACUUUGUGCGCGACUCCAUAAAUUCAAAUACUGUGCCAGUAGAACAGGAACCAUUUUUGAAACUAAUCGAAGUUAUCAUCUAGCAAUAAUUCCCGACGUC
rnacentral:lncRNA from 1 species